rnacentral:lncRNA from 1 species
AGUUGAAUCAGAGCUGCAGCUGUUGGCCUAUACCACAGCCAUAGCAAUGUGGGAUCCAAGUUGUGUCUGUGACCUACACCACAGCUCAUGGAAAUGCCAGAUCCUUAACCCACUGAGUGAGGCAGGGAUCAAACCCUCAUCUUCAUGUAUCCUAGUUGGAUUAGUUUCUGCUGUGCCACAACCGGAACUCCUGCUGUCUUUAUGAUUUUAUUUUUCAAAGUAAUAUACUUUGAUUUUUUAAACUUUUACAAUUUUUUAAUUUGAUUUACAAUUUUGUGUCAAUUUCUGCUGUACAGCAAAGUGACCCAGUCAUAAUUUUAUAUACAUUUUCUCAUAACAUCUUCUAUCAUGUUCUAUCAUAAGAGAUUAGAUAUAGAACUUUGAUUACCUUUAAUCACCUUUUUAUUAUCCAAUGCAGGUUUUUUCUCUGUUUUUUAUUAUUCAAAUGAAUUUAUCACAUCUGUAGUUGUAUAAUGAUCAUAACAAUCUAAUUUCACAGGAUUUCCAUCCCAUAACCCAAGCACAUCCCCCCACCCUCCAAACUGUCUCCUCUGGAGACUCAAUGUCUGUGAGUCAGCAUCUGUUCUGCAAAGAAGUUCAGUCUGUCCUUUUUUCAGAUUCCACAUGUCAGUGAAAGCAUUUGAUGUCGGUGUCUCAUUGUAUGGCUGACUUCACUUAGCAUGAUAAUUCCAUCAUGUUCUAUCAUAAGAGAUUAGAUAUGGAACUUUGAUUUUUUUUUGUCUUUUUUUUGCUAUUUCUUGGGCCGCUCCGGUGGCAUAUGGAGGUUCCCAGGCUAGGGGUCUAAUCGGAGCUGCAGCCACCGGCCUACGCCAGAGCCACAGCAACACUGGAUCCGAGCUGCAUCUGCAACCUAAACCACAGCUCACGGCAACACUGGAUCCUUAACCCACUGAGCAGGGCAGGGACUGAACCCGCAACCUCAUGGUUCCUAGUCAGAUUCGUUAACCACUGCACCACGAUGGGAACUCCAGAAUUUUGAUUAUCUUUAAUCACCUUUUUAAUAUCUAGUGCAGGUUUUUUCUUUGUGGUUGACGUGAGAAUUGAACAGAAUUUCUUAUUGUUAUAAUAGAGUAUUUUAAGUUAAUAAGAACUUAACUUUAAUCACACACAGUCUCUCUACACAUAUACUCCUCCCCUUUUCCCCCUUUAUACCAUUAAUGUCAGUAUUUUUUUUUUUUUCUGCACUCACAGCACAUUGAAAUUCCUGGGCCAGGGAUCAAAUCUGAGUUGGAGCCAUGACCUACUUCAUAGGUGCAGCAAUGUCGGAUCCUUAACCUACUGCAUUGGUCUGGGGAUCAAACUGGCACCUCCACAAAGAUAAGCUGGAUCAUUAACCCACUCUACAGAGGGGAAUCCUACUUCUUUUUAUAUUGUGCAUCUAUUAAUAAAUACUUGCAGUUACAGCUAUUUUAUUUAUUUAUUUACUUACUUAUUCUCUUUUUAGGGCCGUACCUGCAGCAUAUGAAGGUUCCCAGGCUAGGGGUCAAAUCAGAGCUGUACCUGCUGGCCUACACCACAGUCAUGGCAACACAGGAUCUGAGCCGUGUCUGCAGCUUACACCAGAGCUCACAGCAACGCCAGAUCCUUAACCCACUGAGCAAGGCCAGGGAUUGAACCUGCGUCCUCAUGGAUGCUGGUCAGAUUCAUUUCUGCUGAGGUACGAUUGGAACUCCAGUUAUAGUUAUUUUAAAUGCUUUUGUCUUUUAACUUUUACACCAGGCUUAAAAGUGUUCUAUGCACAAUAAUUAUAGUAUUACAUUAUUCUGUACUUGCCUAUAUAUUUACUAUUAUCAGGAAGAGUUAUACUUUUAUAUGCUUUUGUGUUGUUGUUCAGUAUCCUUUCAUUUCAAGUAGAAGAACUCCUUUUAGCACCUCUUGUAAAACAUGUCUUGUGGUAAGAAUUCUCUCUCUCUCUUUUUUUUUUUGGUCUGGAAAUUUUUAUCUUUCCUUGACUUUUAAAAGACAUUUUUGUAUAGUAUUUCUGGUUCAUAGUUGUUUUCUUUCAGCAUUUUGAUUAUAUCAUCCCACUCUUUCCUGGACUGCAAGGUUUAUACUGAGAAAUCUGCUGAUAGAUUUAUGGGGAUCUCCUUGUAUGUAAUGAGUCACUUUUCUCUUGCUGCUUUAAAAAUUCUAUCUCUGACUUCUGACAAUUACAGGCAUACCUUGGAGAUAUUGUUAGUUUCAUUUCACGACAAUAAAGUAAAUACUGCAAUAAAUAUAUUUACACUAUACUGUAUCUAUUAAGUGUACAAUAGCAGUGUGUCUAAAAAAUGUACGUACCUUAAUUUAAAAAUACUUUAUUGCUGAAAAAUGCUAACCAUCAUCUGAGCCUUCAGCAAGUGGUAAUCUUUUUGCGGUAGUAACAUCACAGAUCACUGAUCCCCAUAACAAAUAUUAAAAAAAAAAAAAAGAAAUACUGUGACAAUGACCAAAAUGUGACACAAAGACACAAAGUGAGCAAAUGCUAUUGGAAAAUGGCACAGGUAGACUUGCUCUAUGCAGGGUUUUCACAAAACUUCAAUUUGUUAAAAAAAAAUGCAAUGUUGGUGAAACACAAUGAAGUGAAGCACAAUAACACAAGCUAUGCCUGUAAUUAUAAUGUGUAUCAGUGUAGGUCUCUUUAUGUUCAACUUGUUUGCAUCCUUUGGCUUUCAUGAAUCUGGAUGUCCAUUUUCCUCCUUAGACUCUGGAAGUUUUCAGUCGUUAUUUCUUUUAGUAAGCUUCCUGCCUCUUUGUCUUUCUAGGAUUUUUGUGAUACAUGUAUUGAUACGAGGGCUGGGAUCUCAUAUUACACCAUCUUGAUGUCACUUCUCAUUAAUGAUUCUUUAUAUUGGAGUUCCCAUUGUGGAGUAGCGGAAAUGAAUCCAAAUAAUAUCCAUGAGGAUGUGGGUUCGAUCCCUGGCCUCGCUCAGUGGUUAAGGAUCUGGCAUCACCAUGAGCUGUGGUGUAAAUCACAGACAUGGCUCCGAUCUGGUGUUGCUGUGGCUGUGGCAUAGGCCCACAGCUGCAGCUCCAAUUCGACCCCUAGCAUGAGAGCUUUCAUAUGCCAUGGGUGUAGCCCUAAAAACAAAGAAAUAAAAAUUCUUUAUAUCAAAUUCUAUGUUCUUUUUCUUUCCUGAAGUGACUCAGACUAAUAUGCUUCCCAAGCCAUUUCUCUCUCUUUAUUCUUUUCCUUUAAGUUGAGACCUUGUCCUAAGUAUUUGCUAUAUUCCCCAGUAGAAAUAAUUAAGUCACAGCACCCAUUAGUCUCUUCUGAAGCUUUGCAGAUUUUGCAGUUUUGGGGUACUCCUAAUUUCUUUUUUUUUUUCUGGCCAUGUCUGCGCAUGAAGAAGCUCCUGGCCCAGGGACUGAGUAGAAAUCAGAGCCCCAGCAGUGACAACACCAGAUCCUUAACUCACUGAGCCACCCAGGAACUCCCCCUCUCAAUUUCAAUAUGCUUUUCUUUUCCUUGUACUUACCACUGCUCCAGGGCAGAUAAACUCAGACUCUGGUAGUCUUUAUUACAGGAAAGGGGUCAUAGAGAAGGGGAACAUAAAGAGUGAUGAGCUCUGGCUGACUUUCUAGAGAACUUAAAUUCAAACACAACCUGCGUUCACAAAAAAAUUUUCUUCCAAAAGUCUAAAAGAGACAAAAGAUAAAGGCCUACAAGAGAAAUCCAUUUUUCUAAUACAUACUUUAAUUUAUUGGGAAGUAAUACCUUUGUUUUAUAACCUUAAAAGAAUGCUUGCCUUCUCUCAGCCCUAAUUUACAUUACAAAGCAUGCCACAUUAUUUGAUAAUAACUGGUCACAAUGAUUGCAAUCUUUUUCCUCACUGAAAAGUGUGUUUAUCUUCUAAAUUUAAAAAAUUUCAACUUUAAGGAAUAAAACAAAUUACUAACAAAAAACAUUUAGAAAUGAUUAGAAUUUAUUUCUAAAAUUGCUUCCCCUUUCCAUACUAACUUUUCAGUUGGUUGAAGUUAUUUUUACAUUCUUUUAACCCACAAGGCAGCUGCUUUUUGACCAUGUCCCUUAUUCUGUUCAUUACUUCUGAGUGUUUUGCACUGAUUCCAAAACACCAAAUGUAAUUGAACAUCUUUAAGAAUACAAUAAAUUAAUUUACUGCAGGACAAAAACACUGUAUUUUUCAUAGCCUUAUUUUUUUUAAGGGCCUCACUUGCGGCAUAUGGAAGUUCCCAGGCUAGGGGUUGAAUAGGAGCUGUAGCUGUCAGCCUACACCACAGUCAUAGCAAAGCCAGAUUCCAUCUGCGUGUGCAACCUGCACCAUAGCCCACAGAAACGCCAGAUCCUUAACCCACUGAGCAAGGCCAGGGAAUGAACCAGAGUCCUCAUGGAUACUAGUUGGGUUUGUUACCGCUGAGCCACAGCAGAAACACCUUUCACAGCCUUAUUAAACUAUAACUGACAUAGAAUGAAGUUCACAUAAAGUGUACAAUUUGAUGUGUUUUGUCAUAUGUACACACUGGUGAAAUCAUCACCAUAAUCAAGAUAAUGAACAUUUUAUUCCCAAAAGCUUCUUCAUGCCCCUUUGUAAUCCUUCUCUCCUGUACUCCCUGUCUCAUUUCUCCAGGCAAUCAUUGAUAUAUUUUUGUUGCUAUUGAUUAGUUUGUUAAUUUUAGAGUUUUAUGUAAAUAAAUAUGUACUCGUUUAUGCUUUUUUUUUUUUUUUUGGUCUUUUUGCCAUUUCUUGGGCUGCUCCCAUGGCAUAUGGAGGUUGUCAGGCUAGGGGUCGAAUCGGAGUUGUAGCCACUGGCCUACGCCAGAGCCACAGCAACGCGGGAUCCGGAUCUGAGCUGCGUCUGUGACCUACCCCAUAGCUCACGGCAACAGUGGGUCCUUAACCCACUGAACAAGGCCAGGGAUCAAACCCGCAACAUUAUGGUUCCUAGUU